UCCCUGGUGGCUCAGAUGGUAAAGCGUCUGCCUGCAAUGCGGUAGACUCAGGUUCGAUCCCUGGGUUAGGAA
rfam:Ovis aries breed Texel chromosome 5, whole genome shotgun sequence.